CGAACUUCGUGCCGCUUGCGAAGUAAAAUUACCGAUCGAGAUUGGCCGGCAAACGGCUCGAUUUCUUUUUUCACGACAGAUUUAUGCGUCGCCGUACGUCGCCGCGAUAGAAUCGCGUGUCACCGUGCGUUUUAUUGCUGAACUGCGUGUCAUCGAUUACGCGACUGGAAACGGAAAAAGGGCGGUUUAUCUUUUAAUGGUAAUUUUUUCUUUAAUUGCAAGAUUUACAUUUCAUAAGAUACGAAUAAAUGUAGAUACUGAAAGUAAAUGUUAGAAAGAUAUAAAUAUUAGAUAUAGAUAUUGGAAAAUAUAAAUAUGAAAAGCGUGUAGAAUACACGUGAGACGCGGUCGUAAAGAUUUGAAUGACAAUCGCAAUAUGUAGAUCAUGUUCCGCGGAAUAUGAAUAAAUACAAUGAAAGAAUUUAACAAGGGAAAUACAACUGUAAAGUCUAUCUCGAAUGAGUAAUGGUAUUAAAAACACUGCAUUGUGAAUGUGAAUAGACAAACAUCUGAUGAAGAAUAUCUAAAGAACAUCUUACAGAGGAAGAAGAUCUUUAAGUAACCCGAAUGAGGAUAAUAUACAUCAUCUACGGAUGGCCGAAGUCAAGAAAUGAAAAUUCGUACAAUUAACAUAAAUUUGGCGAAUUGCCCUAAGCUUGAAAUAGAUGGCCCGACCUAACCGGGAGGAAUAACCUUCCUGUUUCUCUGUCGUAUAACGGGGCUGCGCCUCGUUGCCGAACUUCGAUAUUAGUUCAAGAAGUCACCAUAAACAUUUUGGCAAGCAGCCUCGACGGUCUUUGGCUAAAUUCAGAAGGCAAAGGUUUGCCAAGAAGUCGAACGAGAACCUGUUACGACGUCCAUUAUCGGCUUUGCCGUGGUUUUACUGGACGAUCGCAAGGUAAAGCAAGAAAUCGCGACCACCUUGUUUCACCGGACACGGUGAAAUUUUUAUGAAAUUUUUUCGACGUGCUCGGCCAACUGUGGAAAUUUAUUCUCGUGAUGCUUAUUCCUCCCUCGACGAAUGUUUACGAUACAUAACAAUUUCGAAAGCUGAUUGUUCCUCGAAAAACUCGCGAUCUUUCUCUUUCUGCGAUGUUAAAUUCCUGCUUUUUAUUAGGUACACAGAUUAUUAUUAUUGGCUUAUCAAAGGAUUCUUCGUUGUAAUAAAUUUUCUAAUGCUUAGCGAUGCAGGAUUUUUUCUGAAAAAUUCACUCUUUUCCAUUGUUCCCGUAUUUUUGACGAGACCAAAUACAAAUGGUAUAUUCUUUGAAGUUGAAAGGUAAUAAAUAUUCUUUUUGGACAUAUAUUGCACGGAAUGUAAAAUCUCUGUUUUUCAUGCUCGAACACGAAGAAAUGUUGACGUAUACAGAGAACGAAGCAAUAUUGAUCAAUUUGUGUGAAAAGCGCGC